CUCCUUUCAGGAUCGUGCCUGGAAAGUUUCCAAUAUUCUGCCAGUCUCGGUUACAGGAGGGAGAAUCAAGCAGAGGCCUAUCCAUUCCAUUCCUGGCUUGGACAGUGGCUAGUGAGCGGACGGCAAUCUGCUACAAGU